rnacentral:rRNA from 1 species
GACGAACGCUGGCGGCGUGCCUAAUACAUGCAAGUAGAACGCUGAAGAGAGGAGCUUGCUCUUCUUGGAUGAGUUGCGAACGGGUGAGUAACGCGUAGGUAACCUGCCUGGUAGCGGGGGAUAACUAUUGGAAACGAUAGCUAAUCCCGCUUAAAUUGGUUAACCCAUUGAUAACCAAUUAAAAGGGGCAAUUGCUUCACUUCCAGAGGGACCGGCGUUGUAUUAGCUAGUUGGUGGGGUAACGGCUCACCAAGGCGACGAUACAUAGCCGACCUGAGAGGGUGAUCGGCCACACUGGGACUGAGACACGGCCCAGACUCCUACGGGAGGCAGCAGUAGGGAAUCUUCGGCAAUGGACGGAAGUCUGACCGAGCAACGCCGCGUGAGUGAAGAAGGGUUUCGGAUCGUAAAGCUCUGUUGUAAGAGAAGAACGAGUGUGAGAGUGGAAAGUUCACACUGUGACGGUAUCUUACCAGAAAGGGACGGCUAACUACGUG